CAGGCGCCGGGACCGCGGGCGCUGGCCGAGGCGGGGCCGGGCUGCGACCCCGGGGUGGGCGGGUCUGAUGGAUGGAGGCGGCUGAGCGAGCUCCGCCCGAUCCUCGAAGACCUGGGAAGACGUCUGGUCCGCAGGCCACGGUGCCCUCCUCCGUGGGAAUGGCUGGACGCGGGAGACGAGGAACCGCCCUGUGAGGAGAGCUCCGCGGUUUGUACGGCACUUGGAGCGGCGCGGGCAGAGGCACCACCGCGCCCUGAGCUCACAGGUCCACCUUCUGGCAAAUUCUUGGAAGGAUCAUGAGAAGUGAAGGUCAACAUUCUGAUUCCUUUGUUUGGCCAAAGGCCCAUUACAGACAAACUGGAACAGCCAGUGGCGUUCUAAGGAACCUGAUUUAAGACAAUCUCCUGAA